UACAGAGGAGCCAGGCGUUGUCCGGAUUGACUGGGCGUAAAGCGCACGCAGGCGGCUGUGCGCGUGGGGUGUGAAAUCUGGCCGCUUAACGGCCAGGCGCCAUCCCAUACGGCACGGCUGGAGCCUUGCAGAGGUCGGUGGAAUUGCCGGUGUAGUGGUGAAAUGCGUAGAGAUCCGGAGGAACACCGAAGGCGAAGGCAGUGUCCUGGCGAGUGACUGACGCUGAGGUGCGAAAGCCAGGGGAGCGAACGGG
rnacentral:rRNA from 1 species